rnacentral:rRNA from 1 species
AGUGAACGCUGGCGGUAGGCCUAACACAUGCAAGUCGAACGGCAGCACAGUAAGAGCUUGCGCUUACGGGUGGCGGGUGGCGGGCGGGGGAGGAAAACAACGGGAUCUACUUUUUCGUGGGGGGUAACGAAGGGGAACUUAAGCUAAUACCGCAUACCACCUACGGGGGAAAGGAGGGGAUCUUCGGGCCCUGCGCGGUUGAAUGAGCCGAUGUCGGAUUAGCUAGUUGGCGGGGUAAAGGCCCACCAAGGCGACGAUCCGUAGCUGGUCUGAGAGGAUGAUCAGCCACACUGGAACUGAGACACGGUCCAGACUCCUACGGGAGGCAGCAGUGGGGAAUAUUGGACAAUGGGCGCAAGCCUGAUCCAGCCAUACCGCGUGGGUGAAGAAGGCCUUCGGGUUGUAAAGCCCUUUUGUUGGGAAAGAAAAGCAGCAGGUUAAUACCCCGCUGUUCUGACGGUACCCAAAGAAUAAGCACCGGCUAACUUCGUG